AUAUGCAUUAGAACGAUCGGCUAAUGAAUUAUAACACCAUCGUUUUUAAGCUCUCCUAAGUUCAUGGAUGCAUAUAUGGAGUAUGGCAUGACGUUAAUUGAAGCUCCUAGAUCUAACAUAGCAUGUUCAAAUUUAGUAUUGCCUAUAACACAUGGAAUUGUAAAACUACCCGAAUCCUUGCAUUUAGGGGGUAGUUUUCUUUGCAAAACAGCGGAAACAUUCUCACUUACCUGGACCACCUCUUUGUUCGAAAUUCUCCUUCUUGUUGUGCAUAGUUCCUUCAAAAACUUGGCGUACCUAGGUACUUGCUUAAUUGCGUCAAGAAGAGUUAUAUUGACUUGCUGAUGUGUAAAUUAACUAGCACUCAAAUUAAACCCUCUUUUUAUCAAUUGUAGCAAUGUAUGUAAGUAGGGAUCGUUCUAGACCGGGGAUUAGGAGGGAUUGCAAAAUCACUUGGACAUGACUCAAAAACUUAAAAACAAGUUUUAAACACUAAAAUAGACUCAAAGAAUGCAAAACUAAACUUUAAAACACCAAAACAAACCAAAA
rnacentral:lncRNA from 1 species